rfam:Pythium ultimum DAOM BR144 ctg_1117875581125, whole genome shotgun sequence.
UCUCUGGUGUUUUUUAACACCACCCAUUACAAAAAGAAUCAUUAU